AUUGAACGCUGGCGGCAGGCCUAACACAUGCAAGUCGAGCGGAGCGGCAGACGGGUGCGUAAUGCCUAGGUAUCUGCCUGGUAGUGGGGGAUAACGUCAGGAACAGGGCGCGAAUACCGCAACCUAUCAGCUGAGCCUAUGUCGGAUUAGCUAUUUGGUGGGGUAAAGGCCUACCAAGGCGACGAUCCAUAACUGGUCUGAGAGGAUGAUCAGUCAAACUGGAACUGAGACACGGUCCAGACUCCUACGGGAGGCAGCAGUGGGGAAUAUUGCACAAGGGGCGAAAGCCUGAUCCAGCCAUGCCGCGUGUGUGAAGAAGGUCUUCGGAUUGUAAAGCACUUUAAGUUGGGAGGCGUUACCAGCAGAAUAAGCACCGGCUAACUUCGUGCCAGCAGCCGCGGUAAUUC
rnacentral:rRNA from 1 species